rnacentral:rRNA from 1 species
CAGUAGCCGCGGUAAUACGGAGGGGGCUAGCGUUGUUCGGAAUUACUGGGCGUAAAGCGCACGUAGGCGGCUUGGUAAGUUAGAGGUGAAAGCCUGGAGCUCAACUCCAGAAUUGCCUUUAAGACUGCCGAGCUAGCAGGUGAGAGAGGUAAGUGGAAUUCCGAGUGUAGAGGUGAAAUUCGUAGAUAUUCGAAAGAACACCAGUGGCGAAGGCGGCUUACUGGCUCAUACUGGACGCUGAGGUGCGAAAGCGUGGGGAGCAAACAGGAUUAGAUACCCCGGUAGUCCCUGUCUCUUAUAC